rnacentral:lncRNA from 1 species
GAAACGACUUUGGACUCACGUAGGCAUAGGAGAACGAAACUUCUGUACAUUUUAAUCUGAAUAAUUCUUCAGGAUUUAAAAUUAAUUGGCUCUGGCUUGGUUGGACCGUACUCGGAUCUCGCCACCUCUGCGUUUCCCGAGUCACUGGCGAAGAGGUCCCAGUUCCUCUGGGAAUCGUCCUGUAUGCAACAUCUUCACAAGAGUGGCAGGCAGUUGAAUCUCUGGCCUUCGUGGGACCACUGGACAUCUGGCAGAGAACCAGGAAACCACGGUUCCCUUCUGUGAGUCCCUCAGCCGGAAAACUACAAGCUCCUCAUGCAGCUGCUGUCUACAGACCCCCUGGACUGCCUGGGGAAGUGAGUCGGAGCUCCUGCAGCAGAGGGGUGGAACAGCUACACGAAGAUCCGAAGGUGGCCAAAAAUAACAGCGCUUUCCAGAUGAGGGAGCCAGUUGUCCAGCACAGUGUCAUGGGACAGUGGGCCCUGGUGCCACAAUGCCCGGCAUCUCCACCAGAUACAGCUUUGAGAUCUUCAUGAUGAAGCUUGCUCCAAUCCAAGGGCUGUCAGGUGGGGUUUGCGGUUCAGCUGCUAACCUUUCUUUGACCCAGUUUUGGUGACUUGGUCACUGCAGACCUUUCAGAAUGUGUGGUGCUCAUUCUUGUUAAACCAGUUGAGAAUUUCCCCAAUCCUUUGGCCCUGCGCACAAGUGUAGCUGCUCUUCCAAUCAAUGGGACCUUUGUAUGCAGCAGGGCGGAAGGAUAUUAUUAUGUGACAAAUGACCACAGGGAAACUCCCAUUAUUUUCCUUGUGUCUGAGAAAUUAUAAAUGUGUAAUAAGGAACACUUUGUAGUAACCCUUGUUAAUUUAUGAUUUUAAAUAUGAAUGUGAAUUUAUUGGAAUGACACAAUAAAGAGUCACCAUGGGCACCGAUUAUAAUUAUCACCAAGUACAAUGAAGCAGAGAAAGAAACUAUCUCGCUCCUAAAUGGCAUCAUCCAUAUAAGCCUUGCCUUGUUCAAAGCUACUCUGUAGUAUUUUCUUUUAAAUAAAAUAAAUAAGGCACAAAUAAACAACAUAACCUAAAGAGGAGA